GGGUUGUGAGGUUAAGCGACUAAGCGUACACGGUGGAUGCCCUGGCAGUCAGAGGCGAUGAAGGACGUGCUAAUCUGCGAUAAGCGUCGGUAAGGUGAUAUGAACCGUUAUAACCGGCGAUUUCCGAAUGGGGAAACCCAGUGUGAUUCGUCACACUAUCAUUAACUGAAUCCAUAGAUUAAUGAGGCGAACCGGGGGAACUGAAACAUCUAAGUACCCCGAGGAAAAGAAAUCAACCGAGAUUCCCCCAGUAGCGGCGAGCGAACGGGGAGCAGCCCAGAGCCUGAAUCAGUGUGUGUGUUAGUGGAAGCGUCUGGAAAGGCGUGCGAUACAGGGUGACAGCCCCGUACACAAAAAUGCACAUGCUGUGAGCUCGAUGAGUAGGGCGGGACACGUGGUAUCCUGUCUGAAUAUGGGGGGACCAUCCUCCAAGGCUAAAUACUCCUGACUGACCGAUAGUGAACCAGUACCGUGAGGGAAAGGCGAAAAGAACCCCGGCGAGGGGAGUGAAAAAGAACCUGAAACCGUGUACGUACAAGCAGUGGGAGCACAGAGCAAUCUGUGUGACUGCGUACCUUUUGUAUAAUGGGUCAGCGACUUAUAUUCUGUAGCAAGGUUAACCGAAUAGGGGAGCCGAAGGGAAACCGAGUCUUAACUGGGCGUUAAGUUGCAGGGUAUAGACCCGAAACCCGGUGAUCUAGCCAUGGGCAGGUUGAAGGUUGGGUAACACUAACUGGAGGACCGAACCGACUAAUGUUGAAAAAUUAGCGGAUGACUUGUGGCUGGGGGUGAAAGGCCAAUCAAACCGGGAGAUAGCUGGUUCUCCCCGAAAGCUAUUUAGGUAGCGCCUCGUGAAUUCAUCUCCGGGGGUAGAGCACUGUUUCGGCAAGGGGGUCAUCCCGACUUACCAACCCGAUGCAAACUGCGAAUACCGGAGAAUGUUAUCACGGGAGACACACGGCGGGUGCUAACGUCCGUCGUGAAGAGGGAAACAACCCAGACCGCCAGCUAAGGUCCCAAAGUCAUGGUUAAGUGGGAAACGAUGUGGGAAGGCCCAGACAGCCAGGAUGUUGGCUUAGAAGCAGCCAUCAUUUAAAGAAAGCGUAAUAGCUCACUGGUCGAGUCGGCCUGCGCGGAAGAUGUAACGGGGCUAAACCAUGCACCGAAGCUGCGGCAGCGACGCUUAUGCGUUGUUGGGUAGGGGAGCGUUCUGUAAGCCUGCGAAGGUGUGCUGUGAGGCAUGCUGGAGGUAUCAGAAGUGCGAAUGCUGACAUAAGUAACGAUAAAGCGGGUGAAAAGCCCGCUCGCCGGAAGACCAAGGGUUCCUGUCCAACGUUAAUCGGGGCAGGGUGAGUCGACCCCUAAGGCGAGGCCGAAAGGCGUAGUCGAUGGGAAACAGGUUAAUAUUCCUGUACUUGGUGUUACUGCGAAGGGGGGACGGAGAAGGCUAUGUUGGCCGGGCGACGGUUGUCCCGGUUUAAGCGUGUAGGCUGGUUUUCCAGGCAAAUCCGGAAAAUCAAGGCUGAGGCGUGAUGACGAGGCACUACGGUGCUGAAGCAACAAAUGCCCUGCUUCCAGGAAAAGCCUCUAAGCAUCAGGUAACAUCAAAUCGUACCCCAAACCGACACAGGUGGUCAGGUAGAGAAUACCAAGGCGCUUGAGAGAACUCGGGUGAAGGAACUAGGCAAAAUGGUGCCGUAACUUCGGGAGAAGGCACGCUGAUAUGUAGGUGAAGUCCCUCGCGGAUGGAGCUGAAAUCAGUCGAAGAUACCAGCUGGCUGCAACUGUUUAUUAAAAACACAGCACUGUGCAAACACGAAAGUGGACGUAUACGGUGUGACGCCUGCCCGGUGCCGGAAGGUUAAUUGAUGGGGUUAGCGCAAGCGAAGCUCUUGAUCGAAGCCCCGGUAAACGGCGGCCGUAACUAUAACGGUCCUAAGGUAGCGAAAUUCCUUGUCGGGUAAGUUCCGACCUGCACGAAUGGCGUAAUGAUGGCCAGGCUGUCUCCACCCGAGACUCAGUGAAAUUGAACUCGCUGUGAAGAUGCAGUGUACCCGCGGCAAGACGGAAAGACCCCGUGAACCUUUACUAUAGCUUGACACUGAACAUUGAGCCUUGAUGUGUAGGAUAGGUGGGAGGCUUUGAAGUGUGGACGCCAGUCUGCAUGGAGCCGACCUUGAAAUACCACCCUUUAAUGUUUGAUGUUCUAACGUUGACCCGUGAUCCGGGUUGCGGACAGUGUCUGGUGGGUAGUUUGACUGGGGCGGUCUCCUCCUAAAGAGUAACGGAGGAGCACGAAGGUUGGCUAAUCCUGGUCGGACAUCAGGAGGUUAGUGCAAUGGCAUAAGCCAGCUUGACUGCGAGCGUGACGGCGCGAGCAGGUGCGAAAGCAGGUCAUAGUGAUCCGGUGGUUCUGAAUGGAAGGGCCAUCGCUCAACGGAUAAAAGGUACUCCGGGGAUAACAGGCUGAUACCGCCCAAGAGUUCAUAUCGACGGCGGUGUUUGGCACCUCGAUGUCGGCUCAUCACAUCCUGGGGCUGAAGUAGGUCCCAAGGGUAUGGCUGUUCGCCAUUUAAAGUGGUACGCGAGCUGGGUUUAGAACGUCGUGAGACAGUUCGGUCCCUAUCUGCCGUGGGCGCUGGAGAACUGAGGGGGGCUGCUCCUAGUACGAGAGGACCGGAGUGGACGCAUCACUGGUGUUCGGGUUGUCAUGCCAAUGGCACUGCCCGGUAGCUAAAUGCGGAAGAGAUAAGUGCUGAAAGCAUCUAAGCACGAAACUUGCCCCGAGAUGAGUUCUCCCUGACUCCUUGAGAGUCCUGAAGGAACGUUGAAGACGACGACGUUGAUAGGCCGGGUGUGUAAGCGCAGCGAUGCGUUGAGCUAACCGGUACUAAUGAACCGUGAGGCUUAACCUUACAACGCCGAAGGUGUUU
rnacentral:rRNA from 1 species